ensembl:lincRNA
GACAGUUGCAGAGUGUGUGGGCUCUGUGGGCUGAGCAGACAGUGACCUCCUCACAGGUCCGGGAGCACCAGCAAACGGCAGCCUCUGAGAGGCCUGAGGCACAAUGGAGAAAGGAAAGGGAGUGUCCAGAAAAGGCCGGAAGCUGGCAUCCAGCCGGCGGAGGCAGGCACGAGAGCCAGCUGACGGUCAGGAUGCCCCUGUGGCCCUGGAGACUGAGUCCUGGCCCUCUGAUGCUGAUGCGGAGCUUCAGGGCUUCUUCCAGGACUGUGGAGCCAAGGAGAGGGGCUUUGUUACCCGGGAGGAUCUGGCGGAGGCCAGUUUCAGCUUCCUGGGUGGCGAGGAGCCGCAGAUGAUAUUUGACUGGGUGGACGUCGAGAGUAGGGGCCGCCUGUCGCUGGAAGAAUUCAGCUCUGGACUCAAAAAUGUCUUUGGCUCCAGCCCUGGUACCCAUAGACUCCGCACAAAGCGGUCAUUG